UGACUACCUCGAUUACCUUAACCCAUUUCUCCACAAGCAGUAUACCCACGCCCCCAACCCUGUCAGUGUUCCCUGUCCAGAAAGUCUUGUACAUGUGUUCAUUGCCUGUGAGGAACCUAGCAGAGCCUCCUCUCCACCUUACUUCUUGGAUGCAUGGGUUAGUCAAU